CAUCAAGUCAGUUUUAAUUAAUCAGUCUUAAUUAAUCAGUCUUAAUUAAUCAGUCUCAUAUCUUAAGUCGAAAUUCUAAUUUCAGGGACUCCACUUCUGGAAGAACACUAACAGACAGGAACUUAGAAAAAUAAUGAUCUGUUUAUUACAGGAUAAAUGAUGGUACAACAUACAUGCAAUAAAUGAUGAUAAGAUAAUGAGGAUAAAUAAUAAUAGGUGAAUAAAUAAAUAUUCUGAGUCAGACUAGGAGCACUAAAGUUAAUGAUAGUGAGUGAAUAUGCGCUAACAUAUUAACCUACACUAACUUUGGUGUCGAGAUAAACUCGGAUGUGGAUUUGGAGGAAUCUAAGAUUACCAGAAUAAGAGGAUAUCUGAGCUAUGAACGCAGGAGACAGCACCAGCCCUCUUUAGAGCUCUGGAGGUUUGCAUACUUAAGUGAGACUGGUCCUUGGAGAAGAUGGAGCAAGUUCCGAAGGUCCGGGGCUACUGGCGGUUCGAGCGGUUCAGCUCAGAAGACGACUGAAGUCAGCCGAAGGAUGAGCCAGGAGUUGCAGCACUCGGGCCCGAAGCAAAGCCAGCGCCUGUGGAUCCUGUGGAUGCUCGUUUGGGUACUUCUUUGGUCUCACUUAAACUUUGGCACAGAGGAUGACCUGGGCCUGCUGGGUUGCGUUCGGAGGUGACUUUGAAAUCACGCAGAAAACUCAGAAAAACGAGGCUCGAAGAGCAGAGAAAACUUUCAAAAAUGGCUUCGCGAAAUUAAAGAAAAAUCAAUCAAAGGCUUAAUCUUGAAUUGCUAUGUGCACAAAAAGUUGAAGUUUCAAAACUUGAACUAAGACGAUGUUAAAGAAAAAUCAACGUGAAUCAACACGUGGCGUAAAACUUAGAAGACUAAGAAAAAGUUCUAAGAGAAAACAAAGAAACGCACCACAGAAGGGUGUGGGCAGAAGAGAAAGGCAUAAGAGUCUAGGGACAAGAGAGUCAGCAGAAGAGCAGAAGCAUAAGAGAGGACAAGAGACAUAAGAGAGAGUGAGCAACCCCACUCCACUGGUUUUAUCUUCUCACACUGGGAGUGUCUGAGGAGAAAGAGGAGGGGUCAUCGGGUCUCUGAUUAUUUGAUCUAACUUAUUCUUUUGGCUGGUAAAAGAGUCAGAUCUGAUACUCACUCACUAUGAUUAAUAUCAUUGAAUGCUUGGUUUCAUGAUAAAUAAUUUGAUACUAAACACAUAUGAAUGAAGUGUAGGAUCACAUCAAACAUUCUCAUUAUGUUUUAAGUAUCACAUUGAACAUGCUAAAUUACUCUGAAAUGAAACAGAUAGUAACACAUAGAAACUGUGAACAACAAAAGAGUAAACACAUGUGAAUGAACGUCAUCAUGAUUAAUAAUGGAUUCUAAAUACUCACAUUCAGAUUAUUCAGUGACAUUAUAACCACCUAAUGGUUAAGAUACUAAAUAAAUAACUAAAAUAUAAACCAACCAUUUCUAAACUAUUUCUGUUACUUAGAGUAAACUUAGGAUUCAUAGUCAAUAAAUUUAACUCUUAAAAGUUCAUGAAACAGUCUGAAAAGCUGUUGGUCUAAAGAACUAAAGAAUAAGGAUUUAUUCUGUCAGAUAAGAUAACUUGGCUUCUGAAGCACAUAGAAAAAUGGGAAACAUCUCAUUUUAACACAAAUUUCAUGAUUAGACAGAUUAGUACAUUGCUGAAUGCAUAAGAUGUCAUGAUCAGUCAUUUGUAUUCUUUCACCAAAGGAAUGCAGUCUUUAUCAGUGUAUGGUCGAGCAGGGUUUUACGACCGAGGUCUGGAGGUCAGUGUCCCCCCUUAUCCUGGGGUCCGUAUGUUCACACACUUUAAGACGCUAAAUCUCAAAUGGGAGAUCUGGGUUGAGGUUAAUGUUUAUUUAGAUGGUCAGCAAAUGGAGUCAGUUUGAAAGGUAAUAAAAACUCUGUCUCUGUUCACCGAACUGACCAAUCCUGAAGAGUCAGAGGUUUAGUCAACCUCCGGUUGGGUCACUUAUUUAACCCUUCCGGAACCUUCGGGCUUUUAACAGCCAAUUUAUGAUAGAGCUAGAGACUAAUUUGGAUAUAACUUUUUUUUUACUGCAGCAAAUGUGAUGAAUUUUUUUUUCUAAGCUUAAUUUGAAAUUUUAUUUGAAAACAUGAAUUCAAAAUUUUCACCAAGUCAAUAAUAAAGCCAGGACAGAAAAACGUCCUCUAAAGUCCCUCGUGGCUGUUGAAAGCCACUUGUUUUGUCGGCUGUAAAAUCAUAUUGGAUUAAUAUUUUUUUCUGAUUUUUUUUCACAAAUCUCUUAUUUUACUUCUGCCCUGUUCGAAACUAGCAAAUGUUUCAUUAAAAACAGUUUUUUUAACCCUUUAAGUGCCAAUUUAAGACAAAAAGUCACAAAUUUAGCAAAAAUUGAGGGAAAAUGACCCAUUUUUUUAAUAAAACAUGAUCAGAAACUGGUAAUCUCUUGCAGGGUAUUAAAGUCUUGAAUAUGUCAGAGAUUAGUAAUAUAAUUUACUUAUAUGCAUUUUCAGUUUUUCUGUAGCAUCAGAUUUAAUGAAAAACUGCGUUUGGCGCCUCCCAGUGGCCAAAACUACUUUGUCUGCUGUAAAAUCAUAUUGGAUUGAUAUUUUUUUCUGAUUUUUUUUCAUACAUUUCUUAUUUUACUUCUGCCCUGUUCAAAACUAGCAAAUGUUUCAUUGAAAAUAAAAAUUUUAACCCUUUAAGGGCCAAUUUAAGACAUAAAGUCACUUAAAAAGCAAAAAAAAAUGGAAGGAAAAAUUUAAGGAAAAUGACCCAUUUUUUAAAUAAAACAUGAUCAGAAACUGGUAAUCUCUUGCAGGGUAUUAAAGUCUUGAAUAUGUCAGCGAUUAGUGAUAUAAUUGAAUUCAAUGCAUUUUAAGUUUUUCUGUAGCAUAAGAUUUGAUGAAAGACUGCCUUUGGCGCCUCCCAGUGGCCAAAACUGCCUUUUCUGCUGUAAAAUCAUAUUGGAUUAAUAUUUUUUUCUGAUUUUUUUUCAUACAUUUCUUAUUUUAAUUCUGCCCUGUUCAAAACUAGCAAAUGUUUCAUUGAAAAUAAAAAUUUUAACCCUUUAAGGACCAAUUUAAGACAUAAAGUCACUUAAAAAGCAAAUAAAAUGGAAGGAAAAUGAAGGAAAAUGACCCAUUUUUUUAAUAAAACAUGAUCAGAAACUGGUAAUCUUUUGCAGGGUAUUAAAGUCUUGAAUAUGUCAGAGAUUAGUAAUAUAAUUUACUUAUAUGCAUUUUCAGUUUUUCUGUAGCAUCAGAUUUAAUGAAAAACUGCGUUUGGCGCCUCCCAGUGGCCAAAACCACUAUUUCUGCUGUAAAAUCAUAUUGGAUUAAUAUUUUUUUCUGAUUUUUUUUCAUACAGCUCUUAUUUUACUUCUACCCUGUUCAAAACUAGCAAAUGUUUCUUUGAAAAUAAAAAUUUUAACCCUUUAAGGGCCAAUUUAAGACAUAAAGUCUCUUAUGAAGCAAAGAGGUCAUUUAAUUUUCCAUUUUCCUUCCAUUUUUUGCUUCAUAAGAGACUUUAUGUCUUAAAUUGGCCGUUAAAGGGUUAAAAUUUUUAUUUUUAAUGAAACAUUUGAUAGUUUUGAACAGGGCAGAAUUAAAAUAAAAAAUGUAUGAAAAAAAAUCUGAAAAAAAUAUUAAUCCAAUAUGAUUUUACAGCAGACAAAGUAGCUUUGGCCACUCGGAGGCGCCAAAGGCAGUUUUUCAUUAAAUCUGAUGCUACAGAAAAACUGAAAAUGCAUAUAAGUAAAUUAUAUUACUAAUCUCUGACAUAUUCAAGACUUUAAUACCCUGCAAGAGAUUACCAGUUUUUGAUCAUGUUUUAUUUAAAAAAUGGGUCAUUUUCCUUCUUUUUCCUUCCAUUUUUUUGCUUUUUAAGUGACUUUAUGUCUUAAAUUGGCUCUUAAAGGGUUAAAAUUUUUAUUUUCAAUGAAACAUUUGCUAGUUUUGAACAGGGCAGAAGUAAAAUAAGAAAUGUAUAAAAAAAUCUGAAAAAAAUAUUAAUCCAAUAUGAUUUUACAGCAGAAAUAGUGGUUUUGGCCACUGGGAGGCGCCAAAGGCAGUUUUCAUUAAAUCUGAUGCUACAGAAAAACUGAAAAUGCAUAUAAGUAAAUUAUAUUACUAAUCUCUGACAUAUUCAAGACUUUAAUACCCUGCAAGAGAUUACCAGUUUCUGAUCAUGUCUUAUAAAAAAAAAAAAAUGGGUCAUUUUCCUUCAAUUUUUGCUAAAUUUGUGACUUUUUGUCUUAAAUUGGCACUUAAAGGGUUAAAAAAAAAUGUUUUCAAUGAAACAUUUGCUAGUUUCGAACAGGGCAGAAGUAAAAUAAGAAAUUUGUGAAAAAAAAUCUGAAAAAAAUAUUAAUCCAAUAUGAUUUUACAGCCGACAGAAAAAGUGGCUUUUAACAGCCACGAGGGACUUUAGAGGGAGGAAAAUCUAAAGGUCCCGGAAGGGUUAACCUGAAAGGGCAAGCACGUCUGGAAAGAUUUAUAUCCUGUUUCCUGGGACCAGAUAAGGAAACUUUCCUGUAAGGAAUGUGUGGGUUUCACAUCCAGGGUUGUCUUGAUUGCUACAGUCCCCCCUUCGUCACGGUGGUCCUGUCCAUGGAGCAUCGGGACGACGAGUAGACAACCAUGAAGCAGCAGCAGCAGGUGUAUGCAAAUAGGACUGAUGCGUCUCAUUAUCACUAUGUGAAUCACUAGUAUCUGCUUUAAGAUAACAUCAAGCAUGCAUUAAGCUAUCAAAUAAAAUCGUCUAGGUGUUAGACUUUUCUCAGUUAACUAUUGGUAGACUAAUGUGAAAGAAAAUCUCCUAAUUUUCAGUAUUAAUGAGAUUUAGAAAAGCACUCUUUAGUCUGAAUGCUAACUGGAUCUAAAGCUAUAGCUGUUUUUCAUGCUUGCUGGAGAAGUCUGAAAGUUCAAUUUCAGUUUCAAAAAUGGUUAAGACUUAGGUGGAAAAGAAAUGUCUGCUAUAGACAUAUUAACCAUCUGUGUAUGAGCAUAGUCAACCUGAAUCACAAACAUCAAAAGUUUACUGCACAGAGUUUCUCUUAAACUUUGUCUGUUAAACUUGGGGAUGAUGCUCUUAUCGGUUUGACUAAUUAUCUGCUGUUGAGUCUGAAAUUUGUCAAUCUGAGUCUUAGUGACAGAAAUUUCUGGUUUUGAUCUGUUCAUGGGAUAUUUGACAGCUGACUAGCUGACCAUAUUGACAGAGGAGAGACAAAUGCUAACAAAGAAAGCAGCAACUGGGAUUGCAGUCAUCAAUGUAUCACCACAGCAUUUGGAUAUCUUAUUGGAGUCAUUUAGCUUUGGCUGAGUGACUUCUGCUUUCGCAGGACUCACACCUUCAUGGCUCCGCAGUGUUAAUCUCAGUGGUUAGCUGAGUAGUCAUGUUUAUUCACCUUCAAAGUGGAUGAAACCGAUUGAGGUGGAUAAUAAGAUCGUCGUUUCUGAGAGUGUGAUUUAUUCUGAUUCUGCCAGUCAUUCACCCCCCUUGGGCGGUGUUGAUGGUUUUUCCUUUGUCUGGGAUAAAACCCACCGUGACGGGAGUCUGAAUAACAACAGUUGGUCUCAAAGUUUACCCGGCAUUGGUCUGUGUCAGACCUGGGCCUUGGUGUGUAACUUUGACCUUUGUGAGUGUGUUGAGGUCGAAAAGGUUUUGGAGGCCUGGUUAACCACUCAUGUGGAGGCUUAUCGGAGCCUGAAAAUACACAGUCUGAAGCUUCGUUCAGCUCCACGGGCAGUGAUUUUGUCUCCAUUGCCAAGAGAGUGACGGGCUCUGCUUUCUUAGCCAAAGUUUGUCGUUGUUUGGCAAAACCUUUUACAGCAAGUUCACGAAGCUGUCGGCUAGUCGAAGUGUUUGGACAAGCUAAGACGCCAAGGUGAUGACUGGUGGUAGGGUGGAGGUUCUGGACGAACAGCGUUUUGAAGUUCAAGUCCUCCUCCAUUUCUGGUUCAUUUCGGAAACCAAAGUAAGCUUCACGUAAGCGGUUGUAAUACUGUUGGGGAGGUUCUGAUCUCCCUUGUUUAAUAGACAGAGCAGCAGAAAGGCCUGUCUGGGUCAAAUAGUCAGAAAACUCUUCAAUUAAUGCUUGGCAGAGCAAGUCAUAAUUAUUUCUGACAUGAUAAGGCUGUCGUUCAAGGAAACUGCUAACCUCUCGACUUGACGUCGCCUUAAUAAGGUAGAUUUUGUCAUCAACGGUUGCACCUGGAAAUUUCCUCAGGUAAAAGUCAAUGUCUUUCAAGUAGGUGCAGGUGUCAAUAGCAGCUUGGUGCUCAGGUUCAAAGCGUGCUAUGAUGCGAGCAAUUUUGUCAAGAUCCCUGUCUGAGGGAAAUGGUAAGAAGCCAUCAUGAGGAGGAGAGUAGGACUCUUGGUUUAAGGAUGACCUCUCAGGGUCAAGCAGGGUCCUGUCAUGAUGCUGAGAGAGAUACUUAAGAGUUGGUUUGGAAGGAAGUGAUGGCGCUCUCUCAGGAGGCUGAUCACCUAUCAUUUCUUCAAGAAACGUUUGCUCCAUGCGUUCUCUUUGGGCUCGACCUGACUGGAGGGAGCAUUGUAACUCUCUUUGGGCAUCUUCAAGUUCUUUGUCUGUCUUUUCUCGCUGUUCUUGACAAAGAAUUAACUGUCUUUGAGCUAUCUGGAGCUGGUGCUGUAAGGUAGAAGUUUGCUUCUCCUUAACUUCAAGAGCUUCAGCACGCACUUUGACCAGUGCUUUCAAAGUUUUUACAUCUUCUGUUGCUUGCUCUAGUAGGGAUUCUGACUGUAUCAGAUCCUCUGUGGUCUUAGCAAGCUGCUUAUUCGUGUCAUCAAGUUCUUUCUCCUUUUUGUAAAGGUUUUCAUUAAGUCUUUCAAUCUUGUCUUUGAGAUCAAGAUUUUCUUCAUGACUUAUCAGUGAGGGAAGCUUUGACGCUUCACAUCUGGCACUGUGUUUUUCUAAAACACUUAAAGACUUCUUAGUCUCCUCUAGCGUCUUUUUCAGAGCGCUGUUUUCAUCUUUUUGCGCCUUUAUCUUUGCUAAAGCGCAUUCCAGCAAGUAGUCUUUAUACUCAAGCUGAGAAGACAUCAUGACAGACAUGCAUCUAGUGAGCUCUUUGUCACGAAGUGUCGUGGUUAAGGCUGUUUCCAGUAAGUCAGCCAUUUCAUCCUCCGGAUUGGAGGGUUUGGCCUUAUGAAUCUUAGUCAUGUACUGAGGUAUCAGCUGACUAGUUAAGUUUGCUAACACUGUGUGUAUGUCCCUCAGGGGGUCUCCCUGGCUGGACUCCUUUGUGUUAGGCAUGUUUGGUUUUGGUAAAGAGGUGCAGGUGGUUGGUUGAUGAGUUUGAGUUGACUUAAAAUGAAAGGAAGAAGUACAAUAUCAAAUUAAGUGGGUUAAUCGACUUAAUUUAUCAGUGCUUGAUAAAGAGGAAGAGCCUAUCUGAGUAGAUCUCUAAUGGAGAGAAAAAUAACAUAAAGUUAAAUUCAUUUCAAUGAAAAUUGAAAGAAAAACAAGGUGAAAUAAUGUUAAAUUAAAUUUAACAUCAGAUACAGAACCAUUGAAUAAAGGGUUCAGUUUGUCUCCGUGUUGCAGAGAUCAGCAAAGCUUAAAUAAACUGCCUGGUGCAGUUGGAUGAAUUUGAAAAAUCAAUGAAAUUGUCAAUUUAAGGAAUUAACUCUGAAGUUAAUUCACAAAUUGCAAUUAAUCCAAAGGUUCAACUACCAAAUCUAUCUGGAAUGUUAAAAGAAAUUUCAAAUAUUAAUUAAUUUGUUCAUUAAUUAAUUAAUCUUACGAGGAGGGUUAAUACAUUAAUGUAUUAUAGGGAACAGUAAAACUGCUCAAUGGUGUGAUAAGUAACAACAAGAUCAGGUGAUUGAUUCAAGGAGUUACUUUAUCAAUACAUCAUGGAGGCUCUUAUAACAAAGACAAAAAUCAAAAAGCAAUGAUCAAUGAUUUAGAAUAAGCACAUCAAACUUCAUCAACCAAGUCAAUCACUUGAGUUAUGUCUGUAGAGUGUUACACACUGACUACAGAGAGGCAGUACAGCUGGCUGAUACUGCAGGCAGAUAAUAGCAGUGUUAGCUCAAUACCAAAAACAACCAUGUGGGGCAGUAUGGAGUUGGGAGAACUGCACAAGCUCAACACAAGUGGAGAAGAAGAAGAGAAGAGGAAACAGUCAUCCAACUAGCCUCUUGUGGCUGUGAGGAGUUGGGAAGUAUGAAGGAAGGGGCCUUUAGGCUCUGCCUCCUCGAAGGGCCUUAUCUGCUUAAGGCCAAAUGGUCAGUCUCUCCACUGACAACAAAGGGUUAACAUUUCACAGCAGGCUGCGUCUGCACCCUCAAACAUAGAACUUUCCACCAUCUGCUCAGGCAGAUUGGUUCAAUAGAAUCAUUUACAGGAACAAGAAUCAAAGUGACAAAUCCUUAAACAGCAGAUUCAACUGCAGACUUUAAAAUCACAAAUGCGGCGAUUCGUGAUCACGGAUUUUGUCUGAAUUCAUUCAAACAACAACCUCCCACUGUUACAGUGGUUUCCUGUGACAGAUAGCUUAUCUGUCAGGGGAAAGGAGGAAAUCUAAAUCCCAUAUAGUUACUAGAACUUCAUAGCAGACUAUAGAGACAAGAAUCAAAGUGACAAAUCCCUCAACAGCAGAUUCAACUGCAGACUUUAAAAAUCACAAAUGCGGCGAUUUGUGAACACAAAUUUUGUCUCAAUUCAAUCAAACAACAACCUCCCACUGUUAAAGUGGUUUCCUGUGACAGGUAGCUAAUCUGUCAGGGGAAAGGAGGAAAUCUGAAUCCCAUAUAGUUACUAGAACCUCGUAGCAGACUACAGAGACUUCAGGGGCUUGAAACCACAGCUCGGAGCAUCGCGAACACUGGGUUCAGCCAAAGGCCUUAAAUACAAGCGUACGGCGACGCAACAAUCGUGCACUUAAAUAUUGGACAGUCUAGACAGAGCAGAAGAGUCAGUCUCACUGCUACUCAGAACAACAUUUCACGCUGUCCAGCUCAAACACAGACUACGGGCAUGUAGUACAAAAGUGUGUGAAACACAAAGCAUAAAGGUUUUAUGCAUAGAUCAGGAAAACAUCAGAACUUAGUCAAGCAACUUCAGCAAGCAUAGCAUUGAUUGUGAUUAAGUCUAAAACAGCCUGGAAAUAAGUUUCUCUCAUCAAUUUGGAAGGCUAAGUUUUAGGUUGUCUGUUAGUAUCCAGAAGUUUUGUUUGAAACGCCUCACGCAGGGGCACCAAAAUAUAUGUAGUGAUUUGAAAUGAGCCUCAUACGGUCGCACCAAAAUAUAUGUAGCGAUUUGAAAUGAGCCUCACAAGGCCGCACCAAAAUAAUACUUGGCGAUUGGAAUUUAUAAUAAAUGUCUGAAGAUUAAUAAUCUCAAAUUAUGACAUUUAUGCACUCGUUGAAAGGGGCACCACCCACCCUUAAUGGUGGGAAAAUAAAGAAAACAAAAGUUUAAUUCAGAAAUCAAACAUCAAGUCAGUUUUAAUUAAUCAGUCUUAAUUAAUCAGUCUUAAUUAAUCAGUCUCAUAUCUUAAGUCGAAAUUCUAAUUUCAGGGACUCCACUUCUGGAAGAACACUAACAGACAGGAACUUAGAAAAAUAAUGAUCUGUUUAUUACAGGAUAAAUGAUGGUACAACAUACAUGCAAUAAAUGAUGAUAAGAUAAUGAGGAUAAAUAAUAAUAGGUGAAUAAAUAAAUAUUCUGAGUCAGACUAGGAGCACUAAAGUUAAUGAUAGUGAGUGAAUAUGCGCUAACAUAUUAACCUACACUAACUUUGGUGUCGAGAUAAACUCGGAUGUGGAUUUGGAGGAAUCUAAGAUUACCAGAAUAAGAGGAUAUCUGAGCUAUGAACGCAGGAGACAGCACCAGCCCUCUUUAGAGCUCUGGAGGUUUGCAUACUUAAGUGAGACUGGUCCUUGGAGAAGAUGGAGCAAGUUCCGAAGGUCCGGGGCUACUGGCGGUUCGAGCGGUUCAGCUCAGAAGACGACUGAAGUCAGCCGAAGGAUGAGCCAGGAGUUGCAGCACUCGGGCCCGAAGCAAAGCCAGCGCCUGUGGAUCCUGUGGAUGCUCGUUUGGGUACUUCUUUGGUCUCACUUAAACUUUGGCACAGAGGAUGACCUGGGCCUGCUGGGUUGCGUUCGGAGGUGACUUUGAAAUCACGCAGAAAACUCAGAAAAACGAGGCUCGAAGAGCAGAGAAAACUUUCAAAAAUGGCUUCGCGAAAUUAAAGAAAAAUCAAUCAAAGGCUUAAUCUUGAAUUGCUAUGUGCACAAAAAGUUGAAGUUUCAAAACUUGAACUAAGACGAUGUUAAAGAAAAAUCAACGUGAAUCAACACGUGGCGUAAAACUUAGAAGACUAAGAAAAAGUUCUAAGAGAAAACAAAGAAACGCACCACAGAAGGGUGUGGGCAGAAGAGAAAGGCAUAAGAGUCUAGGGACAAGAGAGUCAGCAGAAGAGCAGAAGCAUAAGAGAGGACAAGAGACAUAAGAGAGAGUGAGCA